rnacentral:rRNA from 1 species
CGGCGGACGGGUGAGUAAUGCCUAGGAAUCUGCCUGGUAGUGGGGGACAACGUUUCGAAAGGAACGCUAAUACCGCAUACGUCCUACGGGGGAAAGCAGGGGACCUUCGGGCCUUGCGCUAUCAGAUGAGCCUAGGUCGGAUUAGCUAGUUGGUGAGGUAGUGGCUCACCAAGGCGACGAUCCGUAACUGGUCUGAGAGGAUGAUCAGUCACACUGGAACUGAGACACGGUCCAGACUCCUACGGGAGGCAGCAGCC